rnacentral:rRNA from 1 species
GAUGAACGCUGGCGGCGUGCCUAAUACAUGCAAGUCGAGCGAACAGACGAGGAGCUUGCUCCUCUGACGUUAGCGGCGGACGGGUGAGUAACACGUGGAUAACCUACCUAUAAGACUGGGAUAACUUCGGGAAACCGGAGCUAAUACCGGAUAAUAUAUUGAACCGCAUGGUUCAAUAGUGAAAGACGGUUUUGCUGACACUUAUAGAUGGAUCCGCGCCGCAUUAGCUAGUUGGUAAGGUACAGGCUUACCAAGGCAACGAUGCGUAGCCGACCUGAGAGGGUGAUCGCCCACACUGGAACUGCGCCACGGUCCAGACUCCUACGGGAGGCCACCGUAGGGAAUCUUCCGCAAUGCGCGAAAGCUUGACGGAGCAAAACCGCGGGAGUGAUGAAGUUCUUAUGAUCGUAAACCUCUGUUAUUAGGGAAGACCAAAUGCGUAAGUAACUAUGCACGUAUUGACGGUACCUAAAGAGAAAGCCCCGGCUAACUACGUG